rnacentral:rRNA from 1 species
UACAACUUUCAACAACGGAUCUCUUGGCUCUCGCAUCGAUGAAGAACGCAGCGAAAUGCGAUAAGUAAUGUGAAUUGCAGAAUUCAGUGAAUCAUCGAAUCUUUGRACGCACCUUGCGCCCCUUGGUAUUCCGAGGGGCAUGCCUGUUUGAGUGUC